UACGUAGGGUGCAAGCGUUGUCCGGAAUUAUUGGGCGUAAAGAGCUCGUAGGCGGUCUGUCGCGUCUGCUGUGAAAACCUGGGGCUUAACCCCGGGCCUGCAGUGGGUACGGGCAGACUAGAGUGUGGUAGGGGAGACUGGAAUUCCUGGUGUAGCGGUGAAAUGCGCAGAUAUCAGGAGGAACACCGAUGGCGAAGGCAGCUCGCUGGGACGGUACUGACGCUGAGGCGCGAAAGCGUGGGGAGCAAACAGG
rnacentral:rRNA from 1 species